GUCUUUUUGGAAAUUAUAAUAAGUCUGGCCUGCCCAGUGAGAUGUAAGUAAUAUUUUAACGGCCGCAGUAACUUGACUGUGCAAAGGUAGCAUAAUCAUUAGCCUUUUAAUUAAGGGCUGGAAUGAAGGGCUUGACGGGGAGUUGCUGUCCUUAAUCUAUUUUUUGAAUUUUAAUUUAUCGUGAAGAUGCGAUAAUUAAUCCGGAAGACGAGAAGACCCUAUCAAGUUUUAUCUUUAUAUUUUUAUUGAAUUGUGUUGAGUGACAUUAUAUGGAUUUUGCUGGGGCGGUUAACUAGGAUGUAACUUAGUAUAUUUUGGGAACAUAGAGUUGAGUGGACUAGGGUGUAAAAAUAUGAUCCAGUAUUACUGAUAAUUAGAAUAAAUUACUGUAGGGAUAACAGCGUAAUUAUAUUGGAGAGUUCAUAUCGAUAGUAUAGUUUGCGACCUCGAUGUUGGAUUAAGAUUCCCGAUAGUUGAAGGAGGCUAAAAUAAAAAUGGGCAGUCUGUUCGACUGUUAAAUUCUUACA
rnacentral:rRNA from 1 species